CUAUAAAUACCUCCUCUCCCCGGCAACCACGCAUCGCCGUCCCACCUGCUUGCCUUCUCUUCUGUGUCCGCUUUCCCCUCUUCUUCUGUGCAAAACCCUAUCACUUGAUAUAGAGAUCUCUCGAUCGGGAGGCAAUGGAGGUCAUCCGAUCCAGCAUUCUCGUUGCCUUCUUCAUGGCUGUGGCCGCCGUGUUCUUCCUCGCCGGCGGAGCCGCCGGGGCCGACCCUCCCACCCCGGCUCCCGCCUCCACCGCCGGCGCGUUGACUCCUCCUUUCGCCGUCGCCGUCCUCGCCUCCUCCAUCGCGCUUCUCGUUGUAUCUCUCCGCCAUUGAGGGAUCUGCGGGUGCUGAGGUAGAUUCGUAGAUCUUUGCGCUCAUGAUCGAUCGAUGGUGUUCUUCAAGGUCUAGUACCUCGUAUAUGUGGUUCUUUGUAGAGUUUGGUUUUUUUUUUUGUUUUUAACAUCAUUGUUGGUUCGGGUCUGUAGAUGCCUUUUGUGCCUCUACAGGGUUAGAUCUGGACGUUAGGGUUUCCAUUGGGUAAUAAAGAUCAAUACAUGUGUGGGAGUGGGUCUAUGCGACAGUUUAUAGAUAUGUUACUUUUACUGCAUUAAUCGAUAUAGAUUGGUGUUAUUUUUGAAAUUUUGCUCUGAUUCUUGCUGGAUUUGAUUCUUGUGGUGAAUGAUCUGGUGCGCUUUAUGCAGCACUUUUGCUAUGGGAUGUUUAAUUUUACGUUUGGAUACUUAUUCCAUUUGGGGCCAAAUAGCUUUGAGGCGGUUGCGGAGUUCUAAUUUGAUCGGGUUGUUGUCAUAUGAUUAGCUUUUGGACGACCAAAAUCGUUGUUCUUUUAACUAUUAUUUUUUCGUUAAGCCAACUGUUUUCAUGCCGUAUUAGCAUUGGAUUGUUUGUUGAAUGGUGAGUCUCAUAUGAAAACUUAAUGGUUGUGGUCAAAGAAUGAUUGAUUGAUUUUGGUUUAUCACUGGGAAAUCGAAAUAUUAUGUGUGUUGAUACACCGCAAUGGGUCUAUGAUUUUGGUGUGCCUUAGAAAACUUAUAAUUCGUGAAAGUAAGUUUCAUCUUUCUUACAGUACGAUGGCUGUGAUUUUCCUGUUCAUUAAUUGCUUAAUUGUUUGUUCCUAUUUUCCAAACUAAAGCACCUUGAUCUAGCGGGGCGAAGUCAUGCCUUUUUUUGCGUUUGAAGUCAAGGUAUAUGCGCGUUAGGUAUAUGCGCGUUUAUAGUUCCCCGCGUACAAGUCAUUUGUGUUUAAUAGCUCCCCGUAUAUUUGCAAGCCUGGACAAUUAGCUCAGCUUCUAUCUUGUCAUUAUUGUAGCGUAGAAAUUUGAAAGGAAAAAUUGAGGAUCGCCCUCUCGGUCAUUUUGCAUCGAUCCUCUUGAUUCAAUUUUAUGGUCGAUUUAAUGAUUUGUCCUUCGUUUAUGCAUAUAUAUUUAAAACGUGUACGGCUGUGUACAUGAUUGCUUUGGCACUGGUUCGAUCUUUCUUUGCCUUUCGUUUUUGUUUUCUUUUUUUUCCCUGAUAAACCCCCUUUAAGUCUUUGAUGUCAGCUUGAAAAAAAGUAUUGGUUCGGUUUCUGUUCCCUUGUCUUGGAUGGCAGUCUGAAACAAAUAUCUUUUUGCAGUCAUGCGUGCCGCCUUCUGGCCUGGAACUGGUUCACCAGAUCCCAUGCUUACAAACUAUUUGUUUUUUUUUUUGAUUAACUGUUACAAACUAUUUGUUGGAAAUUGCUUUUGUUGUAG
rnacentral:lncRNA from 1 species